GCUCCCCAGCCGCCCCGCCCAGCCCCGCCGCCUCGGGCCGGUGCCGGGGACCCGCUCCCGCCCCGCAUCCCGCCCCCCGUGCCUGGCCCAUCUGCGGUCCCGGUUUGGGAAGAGAGAAGCGACGGCGCGAGGCACUGGACCCCCGGGCCGGUGCUCCAGGCGCGCGACUCCCAUCAUUUUGGCGCCAACUCUGCGCGGGGUCUGCAGGCGGGUCCCGGGGUGGCCCUGGCCGGGUGGGUGGGGUGAUCGCCGAGGAGCCGGGGAGUCGAGGGUGCUGAAGCCUGGACCGGUGGCCCGAGGAAGGAAGGGCGGCGCUGGUCUCACGUAGCGGUCGCUGAUUCUCGGCGACUCAUCCCUCUCCUCCCAGACUGCUCUAAACCGAAUUUCCCAGCUGACAGACCCUUCCGGCACAGCAACGCCAUCCGGGAAGACCUUGGGCAACUUUCCUAUUCCUCGGAAUACAACUUCCUCAUCUAUAAAGCGGGAAUAAUAAUCCCUGCCCUGCUGACUUCUGCCAAUAAACAAGUUGCUGGGAUCCUGCCAUAAUGAAUCACAAUCCUUGAACUCAGAGAACCGGCAUCAGCACGAUUCCAUCCAGAACAGAAGAGGACAGUGAGGAAGGACACCAAAGGGCUUGGGAGUCAGGCAACGUCUUUGGGGUCCCCCUGCCAACUCAGGGAUGUCAGCUGGACAUGACGUCGAGGAAGAGGUCCCUUAUCUUGGUAUGAAUGCGGCGCCAAGUGAAGGAGCACCCUGGCCUGGACCAAGGGAGAAGCCCUUGCACAUCCGGGCCUCUCCUGAACUCUCGAGAGCAAGGAAAGGAGCCUUGUAUCCAUGGGCCUGAACAUGUGAGAUUCAAAUACAGCCCCUCCUAGGACAGUGACAGACAUGAGGUAGAGGCACAGGGAGCUGAGCCCUGUGCGAUCCUGGGGUUCAGGAGAAAGUCAGAUGCAUAGCCCUGAACAGAAACUGCCCUACCUUAAAUUCAGAGUAGAACAGGUUUUGGAGCAGGGCCGUGCUGGGUGCCGUCCCAGCCUCAGUGUUCACCCCUCUCCCUCAGGUUCAGGGUCCUGAUCAGCAAAAUGGGAUAAGGAGACAGCACCUCUCCCACGUGGGUAUGGUUAGAAUUCAACUAGAGGAUGCUGGGUACAGGCCUGGUAGAGGUCCAAGCAUUUAGUAAGUACUUAACAGAGUUCAGCUGUAGUUAACAGCUGUCAAAGGGACAAUGGUGUCACGCCAGGAGUAUCCCUGGGGAGAGAGAAACAGCUUCUUACUAGCCAGUGUAGGAAGAAAUUUCAGGCUAUAGCUGAGUCUUCUAAGACAAGCAGGAGUGGGGUGUAGGUGAGUGGUAGAGCUCUUGCCUAGCAUGUGUGAGGCCCUGGGUUUCAUUCCCAGCAAGGUAAGAAGAAGAAGAAGAAAAAAAAAGAUAGAUAUUAACUGGGAAAAAAGGGAAGGGAAAGUCAUAUAGAGGAAAUGGAAUGAGAAAAGCCAUUUUCCCAGGAACUUCCCAUUAGAGAUAAGGCUAGAGAGGUAGCUGGGGCCCAACAGGUAGGACGUGUGUUUUUGGAGAUUACAGUAAAAGUUUGGAUUUAUGUUUGUUUUGGUCAGAGAUGAAUAGCAACAUGCUAGUUUUCUAGGUGUAGCAAAUAUCCUCUGAGCAAGUUGCCUAACCCAAGAAAAGGACAGGAGAAGUAGCUGAGGCUCAAGAGGGUAAUGCCUUGCCCAAAAUGCCCAGCGAAGAGUGCAGAGGUGGGAUUUCAACCUCGGUCUCCUGCUAGAACUAAAGCCUGCUCCCGCUGCUCCUCCAUACUAUCUCUUGUCUUCUGGAUACACACACACUUCCCUCCCACUGGGACCCCAGCCCCCGCCCUUCCUUGGCUUCCCCUGCACCCUCAAGUCUUUGCUGAUUGGCAGAGAAUUCAGGGGAAGGUUUGCAGAAAUUCCAGCUUGUGUGUCCCUGGAUGUUGAGAUUAAAUCCACACACAAAGCAAGGUUUAAUUAAUAGCCUGGUCUCUAAGGCUCCCCAGCCUGGAUCCCUGCCAUAUUCUAGCAAAGACAAGAAAGCUCUUCUCUGCCAAAGAGGCUGCAGGGCUCUGCCCUCCUCUUUCCAGGGACCCCACUCCUCUGACUUUGGAGAAUCCUGGGAGGGGGAAUUGCAGGUGUGUGGGACCAGCUGGGAGUUCACGGGGCCAGGACAGGAGCUGUCUUCAGAGAAGAUGGGGCAGAAACAUCUUCCUCCAAACAUUUUGAAUGACAAUAGCAGUAAUGAGUGUGGAAAAAUCCAGCAAAACAGAUGACAUGUGUUCUGAUCCUGCCCUACAGAAAAUUUAGGAAUACACCCCCGUGGUUGUUUCCUCCUUGCUCAGCUUAGCCAGCAGGAGGGUGGGAUCUGAGCUGCUUUGGGUUCCUGAAUGUGUUCCUUUAUGUUCUGGCUUCGUGGUGGAGAGACUGCUAAAGAGGGAAAGGAGGGCGAUCGGAUGGGCAGAAAAAGGAAACGGCACGCAGCAGCCUGGGGUGGCAGGUGGCGUGAGGCAGGUGGCCUGUGAGCCUCUACGAACACUGUGGCAACACUGAGGAAACAAGCUGUUUCCCAGGGGCUGUGUGUGCAUGUGACAUGUGACCUUCUUUUCCCCCAAGUUACCUAUUGCAGAACCUUUGGAAAGAAGAAAAAUAAAUCACCAAGUUCCUCUCCCAGAGGCAACCAUUUUACAACUUGA